UUAUUUUCCGCCAAUGUUCUCCGAUCAUCAUCAUUUUUCUUUUUUCCAGUACACUUUUUAAUGGGAAUUUGAAAAUUUCGGGGGAUUUCGAAAUUUGGUUUCUCUUAGAUUUCAACUUCCUUAGUUCGAGAAAUUGACAAAGGCUCAUACAGCUGACUAUGGCAGUGUCGGCGUUUUUGAGCCCAGCAUCUAUCUCCGCCAUCGCUGAACCACCAACAUCAUUUUAUUCCGUCGCAAUUGGCCGGAAGCAACCAUUGAAAAUUCGGAGGACUAAGAAGCCUCGGGUAGUCUCUUGCGAUUAUUCUUGCAUCGAGGUUAGGGAUGUUUGCUACCGUCCUCCUGGAACACAAUUAAAUAUCUUGAAUGGAGUUAAUUUUUCUCUGCGCGAGAAAAGCUUUGGCUUGAUUUUUGGGAAGAGUGGGAGCGGUAAAACCACCCUUUUGCAGCUUCUUGCUGGACUAAACAAACCAACAUCAGGUUCCAUUUGUAUCCAAAGAUAUGGGGAGGAUGGCCAUCCAAAGGCGGAUUCAGAGUUGCUGCCCACUGAAAAGGUGGGCAUUGUUUUCCAGUUUCCAGAGAGAUUCUUUGUAGCAGAUAAUGUGCUUGAUGAAAUUACUUUUGGUUGGCCAAGGCAAAAAGGUAGUUUGGAGUUAAAGGAGCAUCUGACUUCGAAUCUCCAGAGAGCAUUUCAUUGGGUUGGGUUAGACAGCAUUCCACUUGAUAAAGAUCCCCAGUUACUAAGUGGAGGCUACAAGCGUCGGCUUGCACUAGCUAUUCAGUUGGUCCAAACUCCAGAUUUACUGAUACUGGAUGAGCCCCUCGCUGGUCUUGAUUGGAAAGCACGUGCAGAUGUUGCAAAGCUCUUGAAGCAACUUAAGAAGCAACUGACUCUACUUGUUGUAAGUCAUGACCUAAGAGAGUUAACAGCCUUGGUCGACCAGUCAUGGAGAAUGGAAACAGGUGGUGUUCUUCUUGCAGAACGUCCCCCACUUUAGUCAAUGGUCACUACUGCCGAAAGGUCCAUACCAGGUACUUUAUGGUGGAUUGUCUUUUUUUUUUACUUCAGUUAUGGUGGAUUGUCUAUCUCCAGCACGAAGUCUGCAAAGCAAUUAUGGAUUAUUAGUUGGUUCGGCCAGAACCAGAAGACUUGUGCAUGCCUAAAUGUCAAUGUAUCAAAAAAUUUGUUGUCCAAAUUCCAAUGGCCAUCCUAAUUUUU